rnacentral:lncRNA from 1 species
AGAACCAAAAGUGGAAUAAUGUACAAGGAUAAAAGAGGGAAAUUUUGAGCUUGAUAUCAAAGCAAAUAGUAGAGCAUAAUUGUUUAAAAUACUGUUUUGAAAUGAUGACCGUCACUAUCUCGCGUCAUUUGGAGCUCUUGACGAAUUUUAUUGAUGAGGGUUUGAUUCUUCCCUUGUAAAUGGUAAUCACCUCUACCCCUACCCUAUGUCUUAAUUGUUUUUUUUUUCCUUAUAAAACGAUGAUGGGCCAUUGGUGUCGUGCGUCAUUUGGAGCUCUCGGCCCAUCAAGGAUGGCCCCUCCUAAUGAUAAUGAUAUGAGAUAUUAUUACUUUUAGUCUAUAUCAGAAACUAUUUACAUUUGUUAAUCGAAAAGUGUAUAAAAUUUGUAUAGCCGAUGUAAUAAUAAUAGCCGAAAAAUAUAUGUAAAAUUUGUAUAUUUUUUGUAUAUAUAUACAUUUUAUAUGUUAUAUAUAAAAAUUAUACAAAUUUUAUAUAUAUAUUUUGGCUAUUAUUAUUACAUCGGCUAUACAAUAUUCUUUUAAUC